rnacentral:rRNA from 1 species
UACGUAGGGGCAAGCGUUGUCCGGAUUUAUUGGGCGUAAAGAGCGUGUAGGCGGCCAAGCAGGUCCGCUGUGAAAACUCGAGGCUCAACCUCGAGAGGUCGGUGGAAACCGUUUGGCUAGAGUCCGGAAGAGGAGAGUGGAAUUCCCGGUGUAGCGGUGAAAUGCGCAGAUAUCGGGAAGAACACCCGUGGCGAAGGCGGCUCUCUGGGACGGUACUGACGCUGAGACGCGAAAGCGUGGGGAGCAAACAGG